GAUUUUGUCAUGCUGCUUGCUUGUUUUUUAGGAGGAAUUCAAAUUAUACUCACAUGGAAGUGCAUAAAAAUUUUCUCCAUGCAUGAGCAAUCUACACUCCAUUAGAAUAGUCACUCAUUCACAAAGCAUCUUUAUCACUCCAAAGACAAAACCAGAAAUAGUUCAAAUUACUAACCAAAAAACAAGCAAGCAGCAUGACAAAAUC
rnacentral:misc_RNA from 1 species